rnacentral:rRNA from 1 species
GGCCUCUCGAAGAAGCUCGGUCCUGAACUCACCCUUGAAUAACUACUUUGUUGCUUUGGCGGGCGCCUCGUGCCAGCGGCUUCGCUGUUGAGUGCCGCAGAGACACACUCUGUUUAGUGAUGCUGAU